UACAGAGGGUGCAAGCGUUGCUCGGAAUCAUUGGGCGUAAAGGGCAAGUAGGUGGUCUCAUUUGUCUAGGGUGAAAUCCUUGAGCUUAACUCAAGAAGUGCCCUAGAAACGGUGGGACUAGAGUUCUGGAGAGGGUCGUGGAAUUCCCGGUGUAGCGGUGAAAUGCGUAGAGAUCGGGAGGAACACCAGAGGCGAAGGCGGCUAGCUGGAUAGGCACUGACACUCAACUACGAAAGCGUGGGGAGCAAACAGG
rnacentral:rRNA from 1 species